rnacentral:misc_RNA from 1 species
GGAAUAAAAGUCGUAACAAGGUCUCCGUAGGUGAACCUGCGGAGGGAUCAUUACAGAGUUCAUGCCCUACCGGGUAGAUCUCCCACCCUAUGUUAUUAUUACUUUGUUGCUUUGGCGGGCCGUUAGGCUCCGGCCCGACUACCGGCCCCGGCUGGUAAGCGCCCGCCAGAGGACCCAAAACCCUGAAUAUUAGUGUCGUCUGAGUACUAUAUAGUAGUUAAAACUUUCAACAACGGAUCUCUUGGUUCUG